GCCUAGCCCAGAUAGGAGCGGUAUCCUUUUUCUGGCUCCUUUAGCAAGGAAAAGAUACAAGUGGAUAGCUGGAAAUUGC
rfam:Flavobacterium sp. CF136 PMI10_contig19.19, whole genome shotgun sequence.